AACGAACGCUGGCGGCAGGCCUAACACAUGCAAGUCAAGGGGCCCCCCUUCAAGCAAGCUUGAAGGACUCUACAAAAAGAAACAAGAAAGCAAAGCUUUCUUGAUGGGGGGCACCGGCGCACGGGUGCGUAACGCGUGGGAAUAUGCCCAUUGGUAAGGAACAACUACUGGAAACGGUAGCUAAUACCUUAUAAUAACUCCGGUUCAAAGAUUUAUCGCCAAUGGAUUAGCCCGCGUCUGAUUAGUUAGUUGGUGAGGUAACGGCUCACCAAGACGAUGAUCAGUAGCUGGUCUGAGAGGAUGAUCAGCCACACUGGGACUGAGACACGGCCCAGACUCCUACGGGAGGCAGCAGUGAGGAAUAUUGGACAAUGGGGGAAACCCUGAUCCAGCCAUGCCGCGUGAAUGAAGAAGGCCUUAGGGUUGUAAAGUUCUUUCAAUUGUGAAGAUAAUGACGGUAGCAAUACAAGAAGCUCCGGCUAAAUUCG
rnacentral:rRNA from 1 species